AUACGGAGGGUGCAAGCGUUACUCGGAAUCACUGGGCGUAAAGCGCAUGCAGGCGGUCUAAUAAGUUGGAAGUGAAAGCCUAUGGCUCAACCAUAGAACUGCUUCCAAAACUGUUAGACUAGAGUCUGGGAGGGGAAGAUGGAAUUAGUAGUGUAGGGGUAAAAUCCGUAGAGAUUACUAGGAAUACCAAAAGCGAAGGCGAUCUUCUGGAACAGUACUGACGCUGAGAUGCGAAAGCGUGGGGAGCAAACAGGAUUAGAUACCCUUGUAGUCC
rnacentral:rRNA from 1 species